rnacentral:lncRNA from 1 species
UGCCUAAAUUAAUAACUUAAUUUUAAACAAAAUUUAUAGACAAAAAUGAUCAUUUAUUUUACGACAAACAUGAUCUCCAGGAGCAGCGAGGAAUGCUGGCUAGUGGAGCAAAAUUGAAUGGUAGGCUGCUGGUAGAUCUCGUUUCUUGGUUCAGCGACGACGCCGGCACGCAAUCUGAACGGCUGCUCGAAACCCAUCAGCGCUCGAGAACAACGACGGAGGCAGUGCCGCAUCCACGAUCGGAACCCCUAACCAAGAAAGGAUGUUCAUGGUCCUCGUGCCACGAUCCAGGUUACUCAUCUUGCUAACUCUGGUUGCUUUCUAGUGCCUCCUAUUCCUAUGUUAUGGACUUGUGGACUACAUAAGGAGUAUACACAGAUGGGGAACUUUCUCCCGAAGGUAUGUGGGGAA